UACGAAGGGGGCUAGCGUUGCUCGGAAUUACUGGGCGUAAAGCGCACGUAGGCGGGUUCUUAAGUCGGUGGUGAAAUCCUGGAGCUCAACUCCAGAACUGCCUUCGAAACUGGGAAUCUUGAGUCCGGGAGAGGUGAGUGGAACUGCGAGUGUAGAGGUGAAAUUCGUAGAUAUUAGGAAGAACACCAGUGGCGAAGGCGGCUCACUGGCCCGGUACUGACGCUGAGGCGCGAAAGCGUGGGGAGCAAACAGG
rnacentral:rRNA from 1 species